rnacentral:rRNA from 1 species
AGAGUUUGAUCCUGGCUCAGAAUCAACGCUGGCGGCGUGCCUAACACAUGCAAGUCGAACGAGAAAGGGACUUCGGUCCUGAGUAAAGUGGCGCACGGGUGAGUAACACGUGACUAACCUACCCUUGAGUGGGGAAUAACCUAGAGAAAUCUGGGCUAAUACCGCAUAACACCUACGGGUCAAAGGAGCAAUUCGCUCGAGGAGGGGGUCGCGGCAGAUUAGCUAGUUGGCGGGGUAAUGGCCCACCAAGGCAGUGAUCUGUAUCCGGCCUGAGAGGGCGCACGGACACACUGGAACUGAAACACGGUCCAGACUCCUACGGGAGGCAGCAGUGGGGAAUUUUGCGCAAUGGGGGAAACCCUGACGCAGCAACGCCGCGUGGAGGAUGAAGUCCCUUGGGACGUAAACUCCUUUCGAUCGGGACGAUUAUGACGGUACCGAGAGAAGAAGCCCCGGCUAACUUCGUGCCAGCAGCCGCGGUAAUACGAGGGGGGCGAGCGUUGUUCGGAAUUAUUGGGCGUAAAGGGUGCGUAGGCGGUUCGGUAAGUCUUAUGUGAAAUCUUCGGGCUCAACUCGAAGUCUGCAUGAGAAACUGCCGGGCUUGAGUGUGGGAGAGGUGAGUGGAAUUUCCGGUGUAGCGGUGAAAUGCGUAGAUAUCGGAAGGAACACCUGUGGCGAAAGCGGCUCACUGGACCACAACUGACGCUGAUGCACGAAAGCUAGGGGAGCAAACAGGAUUAGAUACCCUAGUAGUCC